ensembl:lncRNA
UGCCUCUUUCCCUCCUCUUCCUCUGAAGCACCCUGGAGUCAGGAUGCAGCCUUUAAUGACUCAGUAGUCUGCUUGGCUGUGGCAGAUCUUACAUUUCUGGAGAGAAUCAAUAUAAACACUUUCUUUUGUCUUUCCUUUAUUUUUUUUCCCCUUUACCCAUUGUACUGCCUCCUAUUUCACUGUCUGCUGUCUACCAGCGCCUAAGGAAACUGUGAUUGGUAAUUACUGGUGCCUGGUGCUGCCCAGCCUGCAACAAAAUUGCUCAGUGUGAAAGGCAGCAAUGAUCGAUGUCACGCUUGGAGAGCACUGGCUGCUGGGAGAGGAGCCAAGUGGCCAACUGGCCGAUACAACGGAACAGCUGCCUCUUCAUUUCCUGGUUUGGAGACUGACUCAGAAUUGAAGACAUUAAGCAUUAAAAUUAGCUGAAAAAUAAAGGGUGGAGAUGCGAAUAAUGUCAGGGACUUUGCAUUCUAUUUCUCACGAGCUUUCAAACUUGUUCAACUUUUAAGAAAAGUCUUGUUUAAUACUUGUUGUUCCAGCUACUUUUAGAAGACAUUUUGGAAGACAGGAAGGCCAGAUACUUCAGGCAAGAGGCAUAAUGACUUGGGGCACAGACCACUAAAAAAAAAAAAUCAAUCCUGAAUCCCUGAGGCUUCUGUACUCUUGUUGAGAAGGCAGAACCUAGUGUUUCAUCAAAUUUUUUGUGAUAACCAUUGAUGACGUUGCAGAAACCAUGAUAAUGUAAAAUAAUGGAUUAAAUUUGUAUGAGCAUAACUGUAGUGAUGAAACAAUUUAAACUCAUUUCUGAAGGCAUUCAUGCACUGGUGCUUGCUCAGGGUGUGAGCUAGAAGGCCACUAUCCCUUCAAAAUUAGACAGAGAUGUUGAUGACCAUUCUCAGUUAUUAUACUUCUAAAUUACAGCCUGUCCUCAUCCUUGAAGAUCAAAAAGGGAGUAAUUUCUGUUUUACAGGAGAUUACUCGCACUACAAGUCUAACUCUUGUUCACUUUGAGGUACUUAAAUAAAUCUGGAGCCCUGGCUGUAGGACAGACAGACAGUUCCAGUGGGAAAAUCAGCUCUGAAUUUCAUAAUGGGAAUUUCAUUCAUUUUCUGAAUGUGUUCAUCCUUAUCCAUUAGCCCAGAGGACCCAGGACUAGCAGACGCCUUUGAAAUUCAGCCCACUGCCUCAGGUUAGAUUAAAUGAAUCCAUACUUCUGAUCAGCAGAGUUAAAAAAAAAAAUACAAAACCCAAACCAACCAAAAAGCACCAACAACCACAUAACCAUAUAAUAAUAUGGAAGGAAAUAAAGGACAAGGGAUAUUUUUAUUUGUGCAGCUGACCAGAUAUUUCCAUCUUUGGAUUGCUCCCUCUGCUGCCUGCAAGGUAGCUGGAGGGGAGCUAGCAAAGCUACCCAGGUGGACUCUGCAUCCCUCUUCCUCGCCCAACUCCCAGCAUUAGAGAUGCCGACAGUUACUAGAUAAAGUUAAAGACUCAUGUAGUGAUCUUCACACUAAUUGGACUGUAAUGUAUAGCCUCGGUCAAGCAAAUCUCUCCCAGCACUCCUCUCCACAGACGGCAAUCAAGCCAUUUACAGAAGAUGCAUCGGCUGCUGGGACCCUGGAGUAACCUUAAACUACGCUGGCCUUUUAGCAGAAAACACAAUUAAUUUUGAUACUGAAGGGCAAUUAGGACUGGGGUUAAAAUAAAAAAUCUUCUGAACAGAGAAUGUCAAAGACUGGUAAGGAAACUAUUUCCCUUGUACACAGCUUGUUGAAGGUCUGUAAGCACGGCGACUGUCAGCUCACGUUAAUUCAUAUCACUUUGAAAACCUCUCAUUUCAAUGUAGGAAAUAUAAAUUCAGAUUAAUAAGCACUGUGCUCAAACCUCACUAAGACUGAUGGCUGUUUUCUUUAAGUCUUUUGCUGCUGAAAUGAGCACAGCUUCUCCCUCUUGCUGGGGAAACCUGUUUUACAUCCCAGAAUGUAGUGAAAUGACCAAAUGCAUUUAUUUUGUUCUGUUUCAUUUCUAAAAGAAGAUAGUCUCCCAGAUGACGCUCUGCAGAUCACGGCUGAGAGCAAAUCUUGUCAGCAACUCUGUAAACUACUCUUUAGAAAUACAGAAGAUGUUCACAGUAAUACAUAUCUACAAUGCACCCACAUGCCCUGAUGCAUGUGCAAGGCAGCCAAAAUUUUGACCUCGCCUGCACGAACUGCAUAGGUCGAUGCCACUCUCAAUAAGUCAAGCAAAUGCACCAG